GAAGGGGUGACGGUGCUGGAGAAGAGGUUUCCGAUUGUGGGUUUUCAGAGAAUUCGAUUUUGGAUUUUUCUGGGUUUUCUUUUUGCAGAAUCGAUUUCUAUAUAGAACCCUAGUUUCUAUGUAGAAUCAAUUUCUGUAGAUAGUAGAUACCUGUGUAAAACCCUAAUUUUGAUUUUUGAAAUUGCUCUAUUGUUACAAUAUUGAAUAAGAUAAAAGAUUUUGUUCACGCUACACUUCUGCAAGAACAGUUAAAAACUUCAUCUCCUUGUGAUAGAGUAUGUGCGAGUUGUAAUUCCGAGAUUGGUUACGGAAGAUUUCUGAAUUGCUUGAAUAUAUGCAGUUUGGCAUCCUGAAUGUUUCAGAUGCCAUACCUACAACCAACCAAUUUGUGAUUAUGAGUUUUUGUUGUCUGGGAAUUAUCCUUAUCACAAGUUUUGCUACAAGGAGCACUAUCACCCAAAAUGCGACGUUUGCAAACAUUUUAUACCGACAAACGCUGCUGGUCUUAUAGAAUAUAGAGCACAUCCUUUCUGGGUCCAGAAGUAUUGCCCCUUUCAUGAACACGAUGGGACUCCUCGGUGCUGUAGCUGUGAGCAAAUGGAGGUUAGUUUAACUUAAAUACAAUUGAUCUAGCGAUUUCUUUGGGUGUGCAAAGGGGCAUCUGAAUCCCAUUCCCAGUGAUUCCCUUUUUUCAUUCUUGCUAAAUUUUAAUUUCUAGUGUACAUGUGUACCUUAGUUUUAUCAGAAAGAGAGGGAUUUUAUUCCCUUCCUGUCAAAUAACAGAUGGAAGUCAGUCUGAGUGGCCAUAUAGAUUGAGAUUACUUAGGAAAAAACUACUCA